CAGGAUUAGAUACCCUGGUAGUCCACGCAGUAAACGAUGAUCACUAGCUGUUUGCGAUACACUGUAAGCGGCACAGCGAAAGCGUUAAGUGAUCCACCUGGGGAGUACGCCGGCAACGGUGAAACUCAAAGGAAUUGACGGGGGCCCGCACAAGCGGAGGAACAUGUGGUUUAAUUCGAUGAUACGCGAGGAACCUUACCCGGGUUUGAACGCAUUUCGACAGCUCUGGAAACAGAGUCUCUAGCGAUAGCGAUUUGCGAGGUGCUGCAUGGUUGUCGUCAGCUCGUGCCGUGAGGUGUCGGCUUAAGUGCCAUAACGAGCGCAACCCUUGCCACUAGUUACUAACAGGUAAAGCUGAGGACUCUGGUGGGACUGCCAGCGUAAGCUGCGAGGAAGGCGGGGAUGACGUCAAAUCAGCACGGCCCUUACAUCCGGGGCGACACACGUGUUACAAUGGCGUGGACAAAGGGAGGCCACCUGGCGACAGGGAGCGAAUCCCCAAACCACGUCUCAGUUCGGAUCGGAGUCUGCAACCCGACUCCGUGAAGCUGGAUUCGCUAGUAAUCGCGCAUCAGCCAUGGCGCGGUGAAUACGUUCCCGGGCCUUGUACACACCGCCCGUCAAGCCAUGGGAGCCGGGGGUACCUGAAGUCCGUAACCGAAAGGAUCGGCCUAGGGUAAAACUGGUGACUGGGGCUAAGUCGUAACAAGGUAGCCGUACCGGAAGGUGCGGCUG
rnacentral:rRNA from 1 species